rnacentral:rRNA from 1 species
UACGGAGGAUGCAAGCGUUAUCCGGAAUUAUUGGGCGUAAAGCGUCCGCAGGUGGUUUUGCAAGUUUGCUGUCAAAGCGCGGAGCUUAACUUCGUACAGGCAGUGAAAACUGCAAGACUAGAGUUUGGUAGGGGUCACGGGAAUUCCCAGUGUAGCGGUGAAAUGCGUAGAGAUUGGGAAGAACACCAGCGGCGAAAGCGCGUGACUGGGCCUGAACUGACACUCAUGGACGAAAGCUAGGGGAGCGAAAGGG